rnacentral:lncRNA from 1 species
GCCUUUCUACAUUCUGUCAUGUGAAGACAGUGCUCCUCUCCUCUGCACGAAUCAGCAACAUGACACCAUCUUGGAAGCAGAGAGCAGCCCUAACCAGAUAACCAAAUCUGUUGGCACCGUUAUCUUAGAUUUCCCAGUCUCCAGAGCUGUGAGAAAAUUAAUUUCUGUUAUUUAUAAAUUAGUCUCCAGUAUUUGUUAUAGCAGCACAAAACAGAUGGACUAAGACAGACAUCUGAUGAGUUUAACACAGUACCUUGCACAUGAUGUCUUGAAAAAGCUUUCUGGGUUUAGACAUGGAAGAUUGGAAAUUGGAGGACAAGAAGCCUGGAUAUAGCUACCCCUCUCUUUUUCUCUGGAUUGGGGAGAGCCCCUUCUCGCAGUCUUGGCAGAAGCCACUGGAUUACUCAGUGAUUUUUUUUCCCAAAAUGAAAGGAAGAGGAGGAAGCCAGCUGCAGCUUUGACACUUGUAAUUGUACCCCAGUGAGAAAUAAUGAGACAAAGAGAGAGUGUUCCAUCAGUCUCAGCCACUGGUUUGCCAGUGCCCAGAAACACAAGAUUAGCAGCUCUUGUAAUUUCAUCCUCCAGGUAGGUGUUCUUGUCAGUUCAGUUUCCAUUUUAGUAGAUGUGUCUUGGCUUUGAAUCUUUUCAGACAUCAGUAAAAUCUCCCCACAG